UCCACCUAUAUUUUCAUCAGCAGCAUAAGAACUGGUAGUGUGGUCUUCUUCAAGUGCCUUUCUUUUACAAUUAUUUAUUGUCUCAGAUGCACAGUGACUGCAAAUUGAGUGUUCAGCAUUAGAACAAGUUGCAUGUCCUUCUGGAAAUGUAAUGAACAUAUGCAAAGGCGAGCCUCUAGCUGAGACAACCAGAGCACAGUCCCUGCUUGCUCAGCCAGAGGAAGGCUCUGCUUCAUCUCCCCUGGGGUGCUGCUGCCCACAAACCAUACUGUUGCCUCUGCGUUCGGCAAGUGGGGGCUGGGGAAGCAAAGGCAGUGCAUAGGCAUUGUGGGAACGGUUGGCAUUGUGAACGGGACGCUGCCUCUGUGUAUGAAUGUGGGAGGGAUGCAGAAGGGAAGGAAGUUGGUAGCUGUUCAACUUUACUGUUAAGUAAAAAAAAAGGAAAAGAUAUUUCAAAGGCAUGUUCGGAACUCGACGCUUUUUUCAGCACGUGACAAGGUAAUGCCUUUUGGAUCACGGAGGCAAGAAGGACACUGUAAGUCACAAGACUGAGUUCUGCAACUGCAGCCCUGCAUAAGUUCUGUCUCUUUCCAGAGAAGCCUUUAAAGCUGUAACUCAAAAAAGACCUGGUGCUCUUUGAAUUUACCAUUGGAAUGGAACGACAAGUCACAAAGAACCUCUUCUUGUUUGGCUAUGUCUACCACAAAGUCUUCAAAAGUAGUUUCAGCUGCUGGGCUGAAGCUCUUCAGAGAUUCAGUAGCUUUCUGGAUUCUGAAAGUGCAGAAGCAGAGGAAUGGCAGAAGAGAUGAAAAGCAAUUCACAUGUGUGCAUUAUUUGAAGUAAAAAUGAUAGGUUUUGCUUUAAAAAAAAAGUUCUGUCUUCAUGUACUUACUGAUGUCUCCCAGAAACCUCUGUUUUUCUAGGCAGAAUUCAAAUGCAAAAUUUAUAGGCCUUUUGUAAAGAUGAUGAACAGAUAAUCAUUCAGUUGGCAGAGCAUUUAACAAUUUGUAACAUUAUGUUCAAAGAACAAAACAGGUGUGAAGCACUAAUGGAGAACAACUAUUAAGAUCAAAGACUUUAAAGUCAGAAGACACCUUUUAGAUUAACUUGCAAAUGCCCGAUACAAUCUCUGAGCAAAGGAAUGUGACAGUGAGUUGAAUGGGCCACCCUUCCACUGCAGUCCUACAGAAAGGAACGAGGACAACAUGUUGUAGGACAGAGCCCCCCCGUGUGCUGUUUCUUCAUGCACACUGUAACGUAGUAAUUUCUACUGAAUUGUACCGGGACCAUCUCUGAGCCUUUGCAAUACAAGGUACUGCAUUCAGCGCUUUGCUAGCAGGUAACAAAAGAAUAUGACUGACCAAACAAGAUGGAACAGUAUCUAUACCUCAAACAGAAGAUAAUUAAGAUACCUGACAUGAAGUUGCUUUGCUGUUUGAACAAAACAGGAUGGAUCAGUUUCUUUAAGCACUUCUUGAGCAUAUCCUACAAGACCAUUAUUUUCCAGGAGCCCUCGAUAUUCUUCUGCUUGCAUUUGCAAUUUUUCCAGCCUUAAACUCUUAGAAGCUUCAAUUGCCCUAAGAGCUGCAGAUUUUUUCUCUUCUAGAACAUGAUAUAAUUUCUCAAAACUCUGAAGUGCUUCUUCUUUAGCUCUUUCACUGUUGCGCUAGGAGGGGACAAAAGCCAUUUUAGACAGUUUCCACAGCACUGUGGCUGUGCACAGAAACAUACUUAUGGUUGUUCAAGAUAUCAUAGCAAUCUCGUAAUCCAUUUGACAGAUGAGGCUAAUGAACUUCGUUAUGCUCUCCAGCACUGAAAAUGCGAUCAGCACUGCACCCAAGCUAGCAAGCGUUUACUAUCUUAACACAUAGAAAGAAGAGCAGGAAAGUAUUCCUCUGAUUAUGCCUUGAGUUAUGCAUGGAAUUUAUACAUAACUCCACAGCUCAUGGAAAACCCCUGUAAAAGCAGGUCAGCCUCUGAAAUCUUCAUGCCCAAGAGCCAGGUGCUCUUUCACCCUCCACCAUCACCCCGAACCAUCAGUCCAGUCCAGUUUCUCACAUACGCCCUCAGAACUGUAGUGCCACCUCUGAUGAGUGCCCUGGAUAAAUGGAACUACAGAAGACGGAGACAACCUCUAUCAAUAUACAGGUAGGGCCAGGAGCUCCUGCGCUUUCCACCGUCGCGUUUUUCAGCUUGUAUGUGAGCUCCCAGCUCUGACUCUUUAGCAGGGCAACUUUGCCCUUAAUUCUGACCUUACUGCAACAUCCUCAAGGUAAAGAAACAGCAUCAAUUGUGCAACGCCAUGAAUACACAAGAGCUGUAAACCUAACUCAUCUCUCUUUGGUUAAGGUAUCAAAUAAACUUUAUUUCAACUAAAUUUAUGGCAGCACCCAAAA